rnacentral:rRNA from 1 species
CAACGAGUCGCAAGACCGCGAGGUUUAGCAAAUCUCUUAAAGCCGUUCUCAGUUCGGAUUGUAGGCUGCAACUCGCCUACAUGAAGUCGGAAUCGCUAGUAAUCGCGGAUCAGCAUGCCGCGGUGAAUACGUUCCCGGGCCUUGUACACACCGCCCGUCACACCAUGAGAGUUUGUAACACCCAAAGCCGGUGGGGUAACCUUUUGGAGCCAGCCGUCUAAGGUAGGACAGAUGAUUAGGGUGAAGUCGUAACAAGGUAUC